UUAAAAAAAGAAACGAAGGAGUGGUGAUUUCCGGUGGGUAGAGUGGGUUGAGAGUGGUAUUUAUGGUAGAAAACCAUUUUUCUGUACUGAAGUUGGACCCCUGGUAUCAGACACACACACAGAGAUAGAGAGAGAACCAAGAUGGAGCUCUCAAGGGUAUGUCUCGUUCUGAGCUAUUAUGCUUCUACUUUUGUGGAUGACAUGGCUGGCUUUCAGAAUAUGAAUUCGAGUUCGCCAUAGUGGGUAUUUGGUAUGGUGACAUUGUUCUGAACAAUUUUAAAUGAUAUUUCAAGGGACAUUUUGAAUUUAUUGAAAGAGAGGUCUCAAGAUUGGAUUUGGAAAACCCAGUUGCAGUUUUGGAUUAUUCUAUUGGACUGUCAACCUCUGGUUUAGGAAGAGGGAGGAAGAGGAAAAAUGUUGCUGGUCACAUUGAAUUGCUAUAUUUCUUUUUUUUGAGGCUUAUUCUAUAUAUAUUUUGAUAUUAUUAUUUAGUCAUAUAAAAAUUAUUGCAUUUUUUUAUUAUUUUAGUAGGAUCUUACGAUCCUUGAUCCGAUCCUACGAUUCGAUCUGAUAGGCCCCCAAAAUGAUCUUGUGUAGGAUCCCGAUCUUAACAAUCUUGGUUGCAAGGCAGCUGUGAAGGACUUGUCGGAGUCACAAGGGAUGUUGGGUGAUCUAGGUUGAGUCACGAACUAGCCAGGGGUCUUGGGUGACAAGCAGCGAAGGCUAGAGAAGGCCUGACAGGUGUCACGACCCCUACUGAGGCAGAAAAAACAGCCAAAACUCAGGGAAAUGCUGUCGCAGAAGAUGGGUUGCCUUCGAAAUUGAUUGGGUGGUGGUCGGUACUCUUCAACUGGUGUUGGGUGACAGUGGGAUGAUGAAGUGGAGUGAUGGGUGUUGGGAUUAGAAUCUUACAGCUCUGAUACCAUGUUUGUUUGAGAGAAAAACAGACUUGGGAAUGAUGAGGCUAUCACUCAUUUUUAUAUUUUGAUAAUAUGAAACUUACAAUGGAAGCCUUAAGGCGCAAAAAGGAAAAUACGAAAUAAGGAAAUUACACCUAAUGACAGCUAAAUAGAAUAAAAAAAUGCAUAAUAACCAAGAUAUUAUUCUAACAUGAUUAAGUUAGACAUGAUUGAUUUUUUUGGUGUUGAAGAUUUUCUUUGUGUUCAAACCAUGUUUUUUGGACUUCAGUAACAACUUGGGAACCGACACUAGUAAGAUUUGCCUUUGGCUGUUUCGAUUCCUAACUUGGUUUUGGCCUAUUUUCUUCAAUUCAAAGCAUCUAAACAUGAUAUUUUUUUAUUUUUGAUAAAUCUAAACGUGAUAUUUUUCAAUACAAAACAUACAAAAAUGUAGGAUGCUUAGUUUCAAGAUUCUACACAAAACCCUUUGAUUUGUUCAAACAAAUGAUUGAAUUCCUACAAAUUUGUUUUCUUCCAAUUUUUUUCUUUUAUUUGAAACAUCGGGGAGUUCCCGGGCCUUAUUAUCUCUUUUCCAUUAUUUAUUUAUUUAGUUAGGCCUUUGGUAGUGAAAGACUAUUUGCCGGUCGCCGCACUAUCCUGUUUAAAGAGGGGAGCACAUGGGGCAUUAAAGACAAUGUGAGGCCUUUUGAGGCUAACAGGGCACGUUUUUUUUGGUACUUAUUGGGUGAAAAUGACAUUUGUAAUAGUUUUAUCCUUGCACUUUUUUUCUAGUUGUAGUUUCUCUCUAUUAACACUGCCGCCAGAAAAAUCACCAGAGGCGAUUGGCAGUGGUGGUGGAUGGAUAGGUUAUGUGUGAACAAACAGGUGGACAUGUGGAUAGAUAGGUGACACAUGGCUGGGUAGGUGGACAAAUAGACAUAUAGAUGGGGGUAAUGUGAUCUUUCAAAUUGUUUUGUCCUCGUGGCCCUAAAAGAAUGGAGCUUGGUGCUACUGCCCCAAAAGUUUCAAAAUUGGACCUUUGGCCUUAGUACCCUUAGUUUUUUAUUUUUAUUUUUAGUUGUUUGUAGAUGACAUAGUAAACAAAAGUAUAAUUUUUGCCAAUUUUUUUUUUAUCAUGUCCAUAUCCUAAUUUUUUGAAAUCAUUGUGUUCUGUGUUUGUGUCUAUGCCGGUGUCAUUGCUUGUAUCUGUAUCUUAUGUGGAAACUAUAGAUGCUUGUACAUUUGGGGGAGAAAGGGUGUUUAUUUCUUUUCUGCUUGGAACAUAGAAAGUUAAAUCAUUUAUUACCAUUUGUUUCCUGUUAUGGAGCUAACCGAGUCUUCGCCUUUCUGUGGCAGAUAUAACCUCUUUUCAGAAGGGGAAGUUAGUUACUAAUCUGAUUCAUGUAAGAGACAUGGAAUUCAGGUGAGUAACUUGGAUAUGGUUUUUCUACUUUGGCAACAGUCUGAUUUCAACAAAAUGUACUGAUUAAUGAAGUUCUGUGGGUUCCAACUUUUAUGAAAUUCAUAAACAUACAUUUGUACAAAUAAAUAUAUGAAUUUUAAUUGACAGAAAAAAAAAAGGCUUAAGAUUUGCUUUUAAGGGGUAUGAUUUGGAGACCAUGAGGUUUUCAUUGGAAUAUAGAACCUAUACUACUUUUAGGUAUAGGAUACCCCAUUUUGUUCUACUCAGCAUACUGGCCUCUCAUUUUUCGUUGACUAUUGGAUUGUGAUAUGCCCUUUAUUUGGGCAAUCUCUAGGUUCUGAAGAGAGUAGCAUGAGUUAUAGUUGCUUUGUUUCAUAUAUUCUCAUCAUAGUUAUCAAUACCAUACUAGUCAAUCUGGCACUGAUUAUAUAAUUCUGAAUGGUGGUACUUUUGACGGAAAGUAGACCUUUUUCUUGGUGUCUGAUUCCCCAGCAGCUUGUGUUACUGUCACCAUGAAAGUAACAUUUCCAGUGAUAAAGCUUUCAAGGAAUGCAGCCACCUCCUAUUUAAGGUAACCUAACUACUAUGUUACACAAUCAAAUACCCGUGUUGGACACACGACACUUGGACAAGAGUAUGGGAUAUGGGUUAGAUACUUCUCAUAUAAUUAUAUAUAACACUAAUGCCUUUUUGACACUGUAAGUUACAUAUACCUUUUUGUCUCACAUACUUUAUUAACAAUAUAAAAAUAUGACAUUUUUUUGUCAAGCCUUAAAUUUAUGAUUUGAUAAGUUCGACCUCUAGAUACAUAUCUACACCCGACAAACAUGUUAGUAUUUUUUACUUACAGAUGCUGACUUUCAAAUGAAUGGUAACAAAAAAUCCUUACAAUAUUUUUUAUUUUAUUGUAUGGGGGAUACUUUUGUUUUCAUGAAAUUUCUUACGUAUUAUAUCCUAAGCCAAUACCAUGAGGUACUUGCUGGACAGGGAUGUUGUGUUCCUUGGGGUCAAAUUGACUUACAAAAUGGUUCUUUCAUACAUAAGCCUCAUCAAUUUCAUGCUUUAUUUAAGUCAGUUAUUUUUCUUGUGAAUAUUCUCAUGAAACGGUCCUUUGUGUUCAAUGACAAACUUUUACUGCACUUCACUUCGUGAUACUGAUAUUUUAAAGAAGAGUUUUUUUUUUAAUGAUAAUCCGGUAUCCGGCCCAGCAGAUAUUUUAUAUAGAAGAGUUGCUGGAAGUUUGAGUGCUUUGAAAUACAGCAAAGAAUUCUGUGUCUUACAUUUCAGGAAUCCAGGAGAUGGCCAUGUGAUUGAUAUCAAGAGUACUGUGCGAAAACAGAAUCAUGCACUUCUUGAACUAUUGAACAGCAUGUUCAAACACUAUUGAAUCUCUUCUACUUUAUUCGAAGUUUUCUUUUCUUUCUAGAUCCGUUUUGUUUAGCUGAAGUUGAGUGUAAGAGGGUAAGAUCCAAUACCCUGAUUGAAUUUAUAGAAAUGUACAAGGAAAAACCAAUUUGAACUGUGAUACAAUUGUAAAAAUUUCUUUAAUAGUAAAAACAUUAAUGAUUUGUGCA